GAUGAACGCUGGCGGCGUGCCUAAUACAUGCAAGUCGAGCGAACAGACGAGGAGCUUGCUCCUCUGACGUUAGCGGCGGACGGGUGAGUAACACGUGGAUAACCUACCUAUAAGACUGGGAUAACUUCGGGAAACCGGAGCUAAUACCGGAUAAUAUAUUGAACCGCAUGGUUCAAUAGUGAAAGACGGUUUUGCUGUCACUUAUAGAUGGAUCCGCGCCGCAUUAGCUAGUUGGUAAGGUAACGGCUUACCAAGGCAACGAUGCGUAGCCGACCUGAGAGGGUGAUCGGCCACACUGAAACUGAGACACGGUCCAGACUCCUACGGGAGGCAGCAGUAGGGAAUCUUCCGCAAUGGGCGAAAGCCUGACGGAGCAACGCCGCGUGAGUGAUGAAGGUCUUCGGAUCGUAAAACUCUGUUAUUAGGGAAGAACAAAUGUGUAAGUAACUAUGCACGUCUUGACGGUACCUAAUCAGAAAGCCACGGCUAACUACGUG
rnacentral:rRNA from 1 species